GAUGAACGCUGGCGGCGUGCCUAAUACAUGCAAGUCGAGCGAACAGACGAGGAGCUUGCUCCUCUGACGUUAGCGGCGGACGGGUGAGUAACACGUGGAUAACCUACCUAUAAGACUGGGAUAACUUCGGGAAACCGGAGCUAAUACCGGAUAAUAUAUUGAACCGCAUGGUUCAAUAGUGAAAGACGGUUUUGCUGUCACUUAUAGAUGGAUCCGCGCCGCAUUAGCUAGUUGGUAAGGUAACGGCUUACCAAGGCAACGAUGCGUAGCCGACCUGAGAGGGUGAUCGGCCACACUGGAACUGAGACACGGUCCAGACUCCUACGGGAGGCAGCAGUAGGGAGUCUUCCGCAAUGGGCGAAAGCUUGACGGAGCAACGCCGCGUGAGUGAUGAAGGUCUUCGGAUCGUAAAACCCUGUUAUUAGGGAAGAACAAAUGUGUAAGUAACUAUGCACGUCUUGACGGUACCUAAUCAGAAAGCCACGGCUAACUACGUG
rnacentral:rRNA from 1 species